UAACUGAAGAGUUUGAUCAUGGCUCAGAUUGAACGCUGGCGGCAGGCUUAACACAUGCAAGUCGAGCGGGGGAAGGUAGCUUGCUACCGGACCUAGCGGCGGACGGGUGAGUAAUGCUUAGGAAUCUGCCUAUUAGUGGGGGACAACAUCUCGAAAGGGAUGCUAAUACCGCAUACGUCCUACGGGAGAAAGCAGGGGAUCUUCGGACCUUGCGCUAAUAGAUGAGCCUAAGUCGGAUUAGCUAGUUGGUGGGGUAAAGGCCUACCAAGGCGACGAUCUGUAGCGGGUCUGAGAGGAUGAUCCGCCACACUGGGACUGAGACACGGCCCAGACUCCUACGGGAGGCAGCAGUGGGGAAUAUUGGACAAUGGGGGGAACCCUGAUCCAGCCAUGCCGCGUGUGUGAAGAAGGCCUUAUGGUUGUAAAGCACUUUAAGCGAGGAGGAGGCUACUUUAGUUAAUACCUAGAGAUAGUGGACGUUACUCGCAGAAUAAGCACCGGCUAACUCUGUGCCAGCAGCCGCGGUAAUACAGAGGGUGCGAGCGUUAAUCGGAUUUACUGGGCGUAAAGCGUGCGUAGGCGGCUUAUUAAGUCGGAUGUGAAAUCCCCGAGCUUAACUUGGGAAUUGCAUUCGAUACUGGUGAGCUAGAGUAUGGGAGAGGAUGGUAGAAUUCCAGGUGUAGCGGUGAAAUGCGUAGAGAUCUGGAGGAAUACCGAUGGCGAAGGCAGCCAUCUGGCCUAAUACUGACGCUGAGGUACGAAAGCAUGGGGAGCAAACAGGAUUAGAUACCCUGGUAGUCCAUGCCGUAAACGAUGUCUACUAGCCGUUGGGGCCUUUGAGGCUUUAGUGGCGCAGCUAACGCGAUAAGUAGACCGCCUGGGGAGUACGGUCGCAAGACUAAA
rnacentral:rRNA from 1 species